rnacentral:rRNA from 1 species
GACGUAGGGGCCGAGCGUUGUCCGGAGUUACUGGGCGUAAAGGGCGCGCAGGCGGUUGGUCACAUCGGCGGUGAAAGCCCCCCGCUCAACGGGGGAGGGUCCGUCGAGAUGGGCCGACUGGAGGCAGGGAGAGGGCGGUGGAAUUCCGGGUGUAGUGGUGAAAUGCGCAGAUAUCAGGAGGAACACCGGUGGGCGAAAGGC